rnacentral:rRNA from 1 species
CCUACGGGAGGCAGCAGUGGGGAAUAUUGCACAAUGGGGGAAACCCUGAUGCAGCAACGCAGCGUGAGUGAAGAAGGUUCUCGGAUUGUAAAGCUUUGUUAGCAGGGAAGAGGAAGGUUGGUAGCUGCAGAGGAAGUCUCGGCUAACUACGUGCCAGCAGCCGCGGUAAUACGGAGGUGGCAAGCGUUGUUCGGAAUAACUGGGCGUAAAGGAUGCGUAGGCGGUUAAAUAAGUUAUAUGUUAAAUAUAUAGGCUUAACCUGUAGAAAGCAGAUAAAACUGGUUAACUUGAGUGCAGGAGAGGUGAGUGGAAUUCCUAGUGUAGCGGUGAAAUGCGUAGAGAUUAGGAAGAACACCAGUGGCGAAGGCGACUUACUGGACUGUAACUGACACUGAGGCAUGAGAGCAUGGGGAGCAAACAGGAUUAGAUACCCUAGUAGUC